rnacentral:lncRNA from 1 species
GUUAGGACUUACUGUAUUUGAUUUGUAUACAAAGGCUAUGGGAUUAUAUUUACUCCCUCACAACAGUCCUAUGAGGUAAGUAUAGGACCCCUAUUUCUCAUAGGAGGCUCUGUAGCUUAGACAAGUGAAGCAACAAGCUAAGGUCACAUAUGCUGAGAGAUGAACCAAAGUCUGACCAACUCGGGAUCCUGCCAUGCUAAGUGCUCUUUGUCCUCUACUAACUGCUGACAGUUAAGCUACAUAUUAAAGAAUGAAGAGUUCACGAGAAUAGUCCAUCAAGCCUCAGAAGUUUUACCAUGAAAACAAUAAUACUGUUCGGACAAUGUGUUCUCAAUAGGCUUAUUGGUAACUUCUUUAUUGAUCAAACCUGAAUCUCUGGUAACAUGAAGAAUUGAAAACAUCUGGAUUCUGUUAGAAGCAUGGAACUCACUUGGGAAACUGGCUGCUAGUGUAUUGGACAUUCACAGCACAGCACUACCCCUGUGGUUUUAUAAAUAAACAUGAAACUCAAAUCUCCAAAACAACCACUAAGGCCUCUAAACCAAAACACCUCUGCCUGGGCAGAGGUGGCAAAGCAGUGGUUAACAUACGUCCCUAAUGUCAUUCAUUAGUAAUAUUUAAUUAUUUGUUUCAGUCACUCUGAAUAAAAUAGUUUGUUAAUUAUAGAUAAAAUCUCCUCUUUCUCUAUCAAUUUUUAUUUUGAGAGUUUAAUUCAUACUUUCCAGCAUCUCCUAAGAGCUUUUCUCUAUCGUCCCAAUCAAGUGAUCUCUCCUAUCUUGCUGUAAUCAACAAGAUGAUUUUUCUCCACUUCCACAAUUUUCUGUCUCUCAUUUAUGACUUUGAAAUCAGUAUGUCUUUCCCCGAUCUUUGCUACAAUAAACAAGCCUCUCUAACA